GCUAAUACCGGAUAACAACAGAUGAUGCCUAUCAACUGUUUAAAAGAUGGUUCUGCUAUCACUCUUGGAUGGACCUGCGGUGCAUUAGCUAGUUGGUAGGGUAACGGCCUACCAAGGCGAUGAUGCAUAGCCGAGUUGAGAGACUGAUCGGCCACAUUGGGACUGAGACACGGCCCAAACUCCUACGGGAGGCAGCAGCU
rnacentral:rRNA from 1 species